UGUGUUUCGAGUACUUUUGGG
rnacentral:piRNA from 1 species